rnacentral:rRNA from 1 species
CCUACGGGGGGCAGCAGUCGAGAAUCAUUCACAAUGGGGGAAACCCUGAUGGUGCGACGCCGCGUGGGGGAAUGAAGGUCUUCGGAUUGUAAACCCCUGUCAUGUGGGAGCAAAUUAAAAAGAUAGUACCACAAGAGGAAGAGACGGCUAACUUUGUGCCAGCAGCCGCGGGAAUACAGCGGUCUCAAGCGUUGUUCGGAGUGACUGGGCGUAAAGCGUGCGUAGGCUGUUUCGUAAGUCGUGUGUGAAAGGCGCGGGCUCAACCCGCGGACGGCACAUGAUACUGAGAGACUAGAGUAAUGGAGGGGGAACCGGAAUUCUCGGUGUAGCAGUGAAAUGCGUAGAUAUCGAGAGGAACACUCGUGGCGAAGGCGGGUUCCUGGACAUUAACUGACGCUGAGGCACGAAGGCCAGGGGAGCGAAAGGGAUUAGAUACCCGAGUAGUC